rnacentral:rRNA from 1 species
GAACGGCCUGCGUCCGAUUAGCUUGUUGGUAGUGUAAUGGACUACCAAGGCGAUGAUCGGUAGCUGGUCUGAGAGGAUGAUCAGCCAGACUGGGACUGAGACACGGCCCAGACUCCUACGGGAGGCAGCAGUAGGGAAUUUUCCACAAUGGGCGAAAGCCUGAUGGAGCAACGCCGCGUGCAGGAUGAAUGCCUUCGGGUUGUAAACUGCUUUUAUUAGUGACGAUUAUGACGGUAACUAAUGAAUAAGGACCUGCUAACUACGUGCCAGCAGCCGCGGUCAUACGUAGGGUCCAAGCGUUAUCCGGAAUUACUGGGCGUAAAGAGUUGCGUAGGUGGCAGAGUAAGUAGAUAGUGAAAGCGUGUGGCUCAACCAUACAUCCAUUAUCUAAACUGUUCAGCUAGAAGACGAGAGAGGUAGAUGGAAUUCCUGAUGUAGGGGUAAUAUCCGUAGAUAUUAGGAGG